GCACCCUGGAGCGCCGCCCUCGGGUUUCGGUCUCCUGGAUCUGCGGGUCGGUCUCGGCGGGCGGAUUACUCCUCGCCCACAACCUCGAGGCCCCGGGGUCAACCGCGCCCUCCGGGCCGGCAACCCAGGGUUUAGUCAGAUUCCUCCUGACCCACCGCUUCUGGGAAAGAGGCGCCUCCCGUCAGGAGGAUGCUGAGUUCCUCAUGACUGGACCAGUGAGUGUCCACUCCCUGGUCCCUGGCGAGAGAGGCGGGACCCCCACGCCCUCCUGGCGCUCUUUGCAGAGAUGUUCCUCAGGCCCAAUCCGGGAUUUGGGAUGUCUGUGCGUGCUGUGGAGCAGAGAGUUUGCAACAUGUAAGUGCCGUGCGUGAGGAAGAGUAAAAUUAACCUAUGGAGCCUGCUCAUUUUUAAUGUGGAGGGCAGUUCCGUUCCUUUCUUUCGCCGCUUCGAGGUCAUUUUAACACUCAAAUCUAACAUAUAAGAAAAAAAGCCAGGCAUAAUCAUGGCCUUUUAUUUCCCUCAUUAAGGAUUACAUCAGGUGACAUAAGCCAUUUUAACAUACAUCAUGAAGAAAGUGAUUAGUAAUUUAUAAAGGCACAUUAAAAUACCAUAUAAAUUACGGUUUUCUUGAUAGGAUCAUGAUGGUGACUUUAAGAAAGUGGUUGAAUGUGGAUGAAACAGUUUGCUGUGGAUUGUAGCACGUGUGGCAGGAUAUGUAGGCUUGUUGGUUGGUUGUUUUGAGACGGAGUCUCCCUCUUGUCGCCGAGGCUGGAGUGCAGUGGUGCGAUCUCGGCUCACCUCAACCUCCUCCUUCCAGAUUCAAACGAUUCUCCUGCCUCAGCCUCCCGAGUAGCUGGGAUUACAGGCGCCCACAACCAUGCCCGGCUAAUUUUUAUAUUUUUAAUAGAGACCGGGUUUUGCUAUGUUGACCAGGCUGGUCUCAAACUCCUGACCUCAGGUGAUCCGCCCGUCUCGGCCUCCCAAAGUGCUGGGAUUACAGGUGUGAGCCACUGUGCCUGGCCAGUAUAUGUAGGCUUUCUGCAUUCUAUGCAGUUCAGUUCAUUCAUCCAACAAAUAUUUAAUGCCUGUUGUGUGUCAGACGUUAUCCUAAAGACUGAAGAUGCAAAAGGGAUUAAGACUCAAUUCCUUUGGCCAGGCACGGUGGUUUACGCCUGUAAUCCCAGCACUUUGGGAGGCCAUAGCGGGCGGAUCACCUGAGGUCAGGAGUUCCAGACCAGCCUGGCCAACAUGGUGAAACCCCGGCUCCACUAAAAAUACAAAAAGUUAGCCGGGUGAGGCGGUGGGCACCUGUAAUCCCAGCUGCUCAGGAGGCUCCCUGUUGCAGUGAGCCGAGAUCACACCACUGCCCUGCAGCCUGGGGAACAGAACGAGACACUGUCUCAGAAAAAUAACCAAACAAAAAAGACUCAUUUCCUUCUUGCAAAGCUCACAGGUUGGGUAGAAGAGAUAUGUAAACAAGUAAUUGCACUAGAUAUGACAAGUACAUCUUUUUGAACAUACAUAGAUUUAAGUUAUCUAAUACAGUUUGCUUUGUAAUAAAAACCACUUAUCUUAGUCCCUUCAUUUUGAAUUCAACAUUUUUCUAUUUAGUAUUCACCUCACAUUCUUUUUUAGUAUUUUGGUAGAAUCAGACUCUUCAAAACGGUUAAUAGGAUUUCAGAAAUUAAGUCAAUUUUCAGUGCCAGCUAGAAUGGACCUUUGGAUUUAGGACAGAGGUUCUCCAAAUGUGAGCUGGGGACUGUAGACAAUCUCCGAGGUUCUUUCUGGGAUCCAUGAGGUCAAAAAGUUUUCAUGUGUUACUUGCUUUUUUCACUCUUGUUCUCUCAGAAGUGUACAAUGAAGUUUUGUGGAGACUAUAAUGUGCUAUCAAAGCAAAUAGAAUUAAGCUGUUUUUUAAGUCAGAUAUUAGAGAUUUACAAAAAUGUAAAACAAUGCCAAUCUUAUCUUUUGUUUUUAAAAUAUAGUAAUUUUUCAUUAAAAUAUGAUAUUUAUGUUAACAUGUAAUGGGCUUAUUGUCAAUUUUAAGGAAUUAAUCUUUUAUAUAUAAUUUAUCAGUUUUCAUUUCUAAUAUGGUAAAUACCAAUAGUUACAAUCCACAUGAAAAAAACUUCUUUGAGUCUUCAAUUUUUAAACAUGCCAAGGGGUCUUGAUACUACAAACUUUGAGAACUGCCAAGGUAGGCUAGUUAUUUUCAAAUUAUGUUUCAUGGAGCCCUGAAUCCUCUGGUAGUGUGUCAGAAAUCUGUGAGGAUAGAGAAUCAGUAGGAAGUUAAAGACAAGGCUCUGGGUUCCCACAUCUCCCCGUCUUCUCUAAUGGCAGUUCAAUUUUUCUCUGUUUAUCUGGUUUUUUGUUUUUUGCUUUUUGUUUUUUUUUUCUUGAGACGGAGUCUCGCUCUGUCAUCCAGGCUGGAAUGCAGUGGUGCAAUCUUAGCUCACUGCAACCUCCACCUCCCAGGUUCAAAAGAUUCUCCUGCUUAGGCCUCCCAAAUAGCUGGGACUACAGGUGCGCACCACCACAUCACGCUAAUUUUUGUGUUUUUAGUAGAGACAGGGUUUUGCCAUGUUGGCCGGGCUGGUCUCAAACUCCUGACUUCAGGUGAUCCACCUGCCUUGGCUUCCCAAAGUGCUGGGAUUACAGGCAUGAGCCAUCAUGCCUGGCCUGUUUAUCUGCUUUUUGUAUCAAUUAGGUGGAGACUCUCAAACUUCAAUUCUUGACUACUGUGUACCUACAGGCUCAACACCAAGUGGAAGCUGCCAAGGCUUGGGGCUUCCACCCUCUGAAGCAAUAGCCCAAGCUAUGCCUCAGCCCCUUUUAGUUACAGCUGGGGCAGCUGGGACACAAGGCACCAAGUUCCUAGACUGCACACAGCAGAGGGAUCCUGGGCCCGGCCCACAAAACCAUUUUUUCUUCCUAAACCUCCAGGCCUGUGAUGGGAGGAGCUGCCAUGAAGAUCUCUGACAUGCCCGUUUUCCCCAUUGUCUUGGUGAUUAACAUUCGGAUCUUCCUUACUUAUGCAAAUUUCUACAGCUAGCUUGAAUUUCUCCUCAGAAAAUGAGAUUUUCUUUUCUGUCAUGUUGUCAGGCUGCAAAUUUUCCAAACUUUUAUGUUCUGUUUCCCUUAAAAACUGAAUGCCUUUAACAGCACCCAAGUCACCUCUUGAAUGCUUUGCUGCUUAGAAAUUUCUUCUGUCAGAUACCCUAAAUCAUCUCUCUCCAGUUCAAAGUUUCACAAAUCUCUAUGGCAGGGGCAAAGUGCCGCCAGCCUCUUUGCUAAAACAUAACAAAAGUCACCUUUGCUCCAGUUCCCAACAAGUUCCUCAUCUCCAUCUGAGACCACCUGAUUGGAUUUCAUUGUCCAUAUAAUUAUCAGCAUUUUUGUCAAAGCCAUUUAACAAGCCUCUAGGGAGUUCUAAACUUUCCUGCAUUUUCCUGUCUUCUUCUGAGCCCUCCAGACUGUUCCAACAUCUGGCUGUUAACCCAGUUCCAAAGUUGCUUCCAUAUUUUUGGAUAUCUUUUUAGCAGUGCCUCACUCUACUGGUACCAAUUUACUGUGUUAGUUCUUUUUCAUGCUGCUGAUAAAGACAUACCCAAGACUAGGAAAUUUACAAAAGAAAGAGGUUUAUUGGACUUACAGUUCCACAUGGCUGGGGAAGCCUCAUAAUCAUGGUGGAAGGUGAAAGUCAUGUCUCACAUGGCAGCAGACAAGAGAAGAGAGAACUUGUGCAGGGAAACUCUCAUUUUUAAAACCAUCAGAUCUCAUGAGACUUAUUCACUAUCACAAGAACAGCACGGGAAAGACCUGCCCCCAUGAUUCAAUUAUCAUCUGCCGGGUCCCUCUCACAACAUGUAGGAAUUAUGGGACCUACAAGAUGAGAUUUGGGUGGGGACACAGAGCCAGUCAUAGUAAGGUAUUGUUUGGGUAAAACAUAAGCCUUUCUUUCCUUUCUUUUUUUUUUUUUUACAGGGUCUCACUUUGUCACCCAGGCUGGAAUGCAUUGGCAUGAACACGUCUCACUGCAGCCUCAACCUCCCAGGCUGAAGUGACCCUCCAACUCUGCUUUCACAGUAGCUGUGAUAUGGUUUGGCUGUGUCCCCACCCACAUCUCAUCUUAAAACCCAGUGGGAGGUAAUUGAAUCAUGGGGGCAAGUCUUUCCUGUGCUGUUCUUGUGAUAGUGAAUAAGUCUCAUGAGAUCUGAUGGUUUUUAAAAGAGUUCUGGCUGGGCAUGGUGGUGGGCACCUGUAAUCCAAACUACUAGGGAGGCUGAGGCAGAGUGAAUUGCUUGAACCUGGGAGAAGGAGGUUGCAGUGAGCCGAGAUUGCACCGCUGCACUCCAGCCUGGGCAAAAUUGAAGACUCUGUCUCCAAAAAAAAAAAAAAGGAGUUCCUCUGCAUAAGCUCUCUCUCUUUGCCUGCUGCCAUCCAUGUAAGAUGUGACUUGCUCUUCCUUGCCCUAUGAUUGUGAGUCUUUCCCCAGCCACGUGGAACUGUAAGUCCAAAUAAACCUCUUUCUUUUGUAAAUUGCCCAGUCUUGGGUAUGUCUAUCAGCAGCAUGGAAAUGGACUAAUACAGUAAAUUGGUACCAGUAGAGUGGGGUGUUGCUGAAAAGAUACCUGAAAAUGUGAAAGUGACUUUGGAACUGGGUAGCAGGCAAACAUUGGAACAGUUUGGAGGGCUCAGAAGAAGACAGGAAAAUGUAGGAAAGUUUGGAACUUCCUAGAGACUUGUUGAAUGGCAUUGACAAAAAUGCUAAUAGUGAUACGAACAAUAAGAUCCAGUCUGAGGUGGUCUCAGAUGGAGAUGAGGAACUUGUUGGGAACUGGAGCAAAGGUGACUCUUGUUAUGUUUUAGCAAAGAGACUGGUGACAUUUUGCCCCUGCCCGAGAGAUUUGUGGAACUUUGAACUUGAGGGAGAUGAUUUAGGGUAUCUGGUGGAAGACAUUUCUUUUUUUUUUUUUGUGACGGAGUCUUGCAUUGUCGCCUGGGGUGGAGUGCAAUGGUCUGAUCUCAGCUUACUGGGUUCAAGCAAUUCUGUCUCAGCCUCCCGAGUAGCUGGGAUUACAGGCGUCCGCCACCACGCCCUUCUAAUUUUUUGUAUUUUUAGUAGAGACGGUUUCACUAUGUUGGCCAGUGGAAGACAUUUCUAAGCAGCAAAGCAUUCAAGAGGUGGCUUGGGUGUUGUUAAAGGCAUUCUGUUUUGACUGGGUGCGGUGGUGCACACCUAUAAUCCCAGCACUUUGGGAGGCCGAGGAGGGUGGAUCAAGAGGUCAGGAGUUCAAGACCAGCCUGGCCAAUAUGGUGAAACCCUGUCUCUACUGGAAAUACAAAAAUUAGCUUGGCAUGGUGGUGUGCGCCUGUAGUCCCAGCUUCUCGGGAGGCUGAGGCAGGAGAAUCGCCUGGACCCGGGAGGUGGAGGUUCCAUUGAGCCAAGAUCAUGCCACUGACUCCAGCCUGGGCAACAGACUGAGACUCUGUCUCAAAAAAAAAGAAAAAAAAAAAGGCAUUCAGUUUUAUAAGGGAAGCAGAGCAUAAAAGUUUGGGAAAUUUGCAGCCUGACAAUGUGAUAGUAAAGAAAAUCCCAUUUUCUGAGAGGAAAUUCAAGCUGGCUGCAAAAAUUUGCAUAAGUACCAAGGAGCCGAAUGUUAAUAUCCAAGACAAUGGGGAAAAUAUCUCCCAGACAUGUCAGAGGUCUUCAUGGCAGCCCCUCCCAUCAACAGGUCCAGAGGCCUAGGAGGAAAAAGUGGUUUUGUGGGCAGCACCCAGGGUCCCCAUGCUAUGUGCAGCCUAGGGACUUGGUGCCGUGCGUCUCAGCUCCUCCAGUGGUGACUGAAAGGGGCCAACAUAGAGCUCGGGCUGCUGCUUCAUGGGGUGGAAGUCCCAAAUCUUGGCAGCUUCCAUGUGGUGUUGAGCCUGCGAGUACAUAGAAGUCAAGAAUUGGGGUUUGGGAACCUCCAUCUAGAUUUCAGAAGAUAUAUGGAAAUUCCUGGAUGCCCAGGCAGAAGUUUGCUGUAGGGGUGGGGCCUUCAUGGAGAACCUCUGCUAGAGCAGUGCAGAAGGGAAAUGUGGGGUCGGAGCCCCCACACAGAGUCCCCGCUGCGGCCCUGCCUGAUGGAGCUGUGAGAAGUGGACCACCGUUCUCCAGACCCCAGAAUGGUAGAUCCACCGACAGCUUGCACCGUGUGCCUGGAAAAGCUGCAGACACUCAAUGCCAGCCUAUGAAAGCAGCCUGGAGGGAGGCUUUACCCUGCAAAGCCACAGAAGUGGAGCUGCCCAAGACCAUGGGAAUCCACCUCUUGCAUCAGUGUGACCUGGAUGUGAGACAUGGAGUCAAAGGAUAUCAUUUUGAAGCUUUAAGAUUUGACUGCCCUGCUGGAUUUCAGACUUGCAUGGGUCCUGUAGCCCCUUUGUUUUGGCCAAUUUCUCCCAUUUGGAAUGGCUAUAUUUACCCAAUGCUUAUACCACCAUUCUAUCUAGGAAGUAAAUAACUUGCUUUUGAUUUUACAGGCUCAUAGGCAGAAGGGAUUUGCCUUGUCUCAGAUGAGACUUUGGACUGCGGACUUUUGAGUUAAUGCUGAAAUGAGUUAAGACUUCGGAGGACUAUUGGGAAGGCAUGAUUGGUUUUGAAAUGUGAGGACAUGAGAUUUGGGAGGGGCCAGGGGUGGAAGGAUACGGUUGGGUUCUGUGUCCCCACCCAAGUCUUAUCUUGUAGCUCCCAUAACCCAUGUGUCUUGGGAGGGACCUGGUAAUUCAAUCAUGUGGGCUGGAUGCGGUUGCUCAUGCCUGUAAUCCCAGCACUUUGGGAGGCCAAGGGGGAGAUCACUUGCGAUCAGGAGUUUGAGACCAGCCUGGCCAACAUGGUGAAACCCCAUCUAUACUAAAAAUACAAAAAUUAGCCAGGCACGGUGGUGGGCACCUGUAAUCCCAGCUACUUGGGAGGCUGAGGCAUGAGAAUCACUUGAACCUGGAGGCGGAGGUUGCAGUGAGCCGAGAUCGCACCACUGCACUCCAGCCUGGGCGUCAAAGUGAAACUUAGUCUUAAAAAAAAAAAAAAAAAGAAGAAUGGGAGUGGGUCUUUCCUGUGCUGUCCUCAUGAUAGAGAAUAAGUCUUACAAGAUCUGAUGGUUUUAAAAAUGAGAGUUAUUUCUCUCUUCUCUUGUCUGCCACCAUGUGAGUCAUGCCUUUCACCUUCCACCAUGAUUGUGAGGCCUCCCCAGCCACGUGGAACUGUAAGUCCAAUAAACCUCUUUCUUUUUUUUUUUUUUUUUUUUUUUUUUUGAGACGGAGUCUCACUCUGUUGCCCAGGCUGGAGUGCAGUGGCGCGAUCUCGGCUCACUGCAAGCUCCGCCUCCCAGGUUCACGCCAUUCUCCUGCCUCAGCCUCCCGUGUAGCAGGCAUUGUCACAGGCGCCUGCCACCACACCCACCUAAUUUUUUUGUAUUUUUAGUAGAGACGGGGUUUCACCGUGUUAGCCAGGGUGGUAUCGAUCUCCUGACCUUGUGAUCCGCCCACCUUGGGCUCCCAAAGUGUUGAGAUUACAGGCGUAAGCCACUGCACCCGGCAAUAAACCUCUUUCUUUUGUAAAUUGCCCAGGUAUGUCUUUAUCAGCAGCAUGAAAAUGGACUCAUACAAUGAUCCAUUACCUAGGGUAAAAUUCUCCUGAAUGUCAAACAGAGAUAAACUACAUUUGGGUUUUGGGUAAGUCCCCUGUAAUGAUGAAUCAAGAAUCCUCAAGUCUGUCUUGCCACCCAUUUAAUACGUAUUUUUGUUAAGGCUGAAGUUUAGAGUUAGAAUCAGGACAUUUUGGCCUAUUGAGAGGUUCUGAAUUCCAACAGAAGAUGCCAUGUAAAUCAGUGAAUUUGAUUCUUUUAAAAGCAACUUACAAAAUUUACAAGAUGUAUUCAAUAAAGCAGUUUAGCUUUGGUAUAU
rnacentral:lncRNA from 1 species